UCGCCCUUAAUGCUCAGUAACACGUGGCUAACCUGCCCUUGGGACGAAAACACCCCCGGGAAACUGGGGUUAAUUUUCGAUAGGUGAAAAAUUCUGGAAUGAAUUUUCGCCCAAAGGAUAUUUAUGUCAUGCUCAUAAGCAUUGCCCAAGGAUGGGGCCGCGACCGAUCAGGUUGUUGGUGAGGUAAUGGCUCACCAAGCCUUUUACCGGUACGGGCCGUGAGAGCGGGAGCCCGGAGAUGGGCACUGAGACAAGGGCCCAGGCCCUACGGGGCGCAGCAGUCGCGAAAACUUUGCAAUACACGAAAGUGUGACAAGGCUAUCCCGAGUGCCAUCCGCUGAGGAAGGCUUUUACUCAGUAUAAAUAGCUGGGAGAAUAAGGAGAGGGCAAGUCUGGUGUCAGCCGCCGCGGUAAUACCAGCUCUCCGAGUAGUGUGGAUGUUUAUUGGGCCUAAAGCAUCCGUAGCUUGCUAAAUAAGUCCCCUGUUAAAUCCACCGAUUCAAUCGUUGGAUUGCGGGGGAUACUGUUUGGCUAGGGGACGGGAGAGGCCGACGGUAUUUCCGGGGUAGGGGUGAAAUCCUAUAAUCCCGGGAAGACCACCAGUGGCGAAGGCUGUCGGCUAGAACGCGCCCGA
rnacentral:rRNA from 1 species